rnacentral:rRNA from 1 species
GAGUUUGUAUCCUGGCUCAGGACGAACGCUGGCGGCGUGCUUAACACAUGCAAGUCGAACGGUGACCCUGGAGCUUGCUCCGGGUGAUCAGUGGCGAACGGGUGAGUAACACGUGAGCAACCUGCCCGUUCACUCUGGGAUAACGUCCGGGAAACCGGGGCUAAUACCGGAUAAGGCCCGAGUGGGCAUCCACAGCGGGUGGAAAGUUUUUCGGUGAAGGAUGGGCUCGCGGCCUAUCAGCUAGUUGGUGAGGUAACGGCCCACCAAGGCGACGACGGGUAGCCGGCCUGAGAGGGCGACCGGCCACACUGGGACUGAGACACGGCCCAGACCUCCUACGGGAGGCAGCAGUGGGGAAUAGUUGCACAAUGGGCGAAAGCCUGAUGCAGCGACGCCGCGUGAGGGAUGAAGGCCU